AUGGAGCCGACCUUGAAAUACCACCCUUUAAUGUUUGAUGUUCUAACGUUGACCCGUAAUCCGGGUUGCGGACAGUGUCUGGUGGGUAGUUUGACUGGGGCGGUCUCCUCCUAAAGAGUAACGGAGGAGCACGAAGGUUGGCUAAUCCUGGUCGGACAUCAGGAGGUUAGUGCAAUGGCAUAAGCCAGCUUGACUGCGAGCGUGACGGCGCGAGCAGGUGCGAAAGCAGGUCAUAGUGAUCCGGUGGUUCUGAAUGGAAGGGCCAUCGCUCAACGGAUAAAAGGUACUCCGGGGAUAACAGGCUGAUACCGCCCAAGAGUUCAUAUCGACGGCGGUGUUUGGCACCUCGAUGUCGGCUCAUCACAUCCUGGGGCUGAAGUAGGUCCCAAGGGUAUGGCUGUUCGCCAUUUAAAGUGGUACGCGAGCUGGGUUUAGAACGUCGUGAGACAGUUCGGUCCCUAUCUGCCGUGGGCGCUGGAGAACUGAGGGGGGCUGCUCCUAGUACGAGAGGACCGGAGUGGACGCAUCACUGGUGUUCGGGUUGUCAUGCCAAUGGCACUGCCCGGUAGCUAAAUGCGGAAGAGAUAAGUGCUGAAAGCAUCUAAGCACGAAACUUGCCCCGAGAUGAGUUCUCCCUGACUCCUUGAGAGUCCUGAAGGAACGUUGAAGACGACGACGUUGAUAGGCCGGGUGUGUAAGCGCAGCGAUGCGUUGAGCUAACCGGUACUAAUGAACCGUGAGGCUUAACCUUA
rnacentral:rRNA from 1 species